CCGUUUCAAUUUCCACUUCCCAUUCCUCCUUUCUUUUUCUCGGUCUGUUUUCCUCUCUAACUCCGCCUCAACCAAAUCUCUAACAAAAUUUCCAAAUCAAAGUCUAAAAAAACGAACUACGAAUACGUAAAGCAGAGAUCACAUACAUGGCGUUGGAUCUGAUCCUUAGGCGUUAUUAGGAACUUAAACUCAAAGAUUGAAGAAAGAUCUAGGAUUUCGCCAUGUAAAAAGGUCUAAAAAUGGGUUUCAAUUUAAGGUUAUUUCUGAUUCCUCGACAACUCAAAGCAUAGACAUCAAGGAAUUGGUAUUUUAUGAUGUUAUAGUUUCUAGUGGGAAAAUUUGGGGGAAAAUUUCUUGUGGCAGAGGAAGAUGAUUCAUAAGAUAAAUUUAACUUGAGACACAAGAAGGUGAUGAGCAGGGAAGAUUUUGGAUUAACUAAUUUAUGUAGAUGAAACCAUUAAUCAUUGGCAUCCUAGAUGCAAAUACAGAUGAUUGAUGAAACACACAGCUUGAAGACCUAACCAGUGCUGACAGUUGCUCUAGCCGUUUAAGAACAUAAAGAGGUAAAUGCUUUAUCGUUCUAAAAUGUCGAGACGGGUAGUGUUUGAUGUUUUGGGCGUUAGAUUUCAACAUUUACACCUGUCAAGAUCAGCAUUAUUCUUGUUAUUCUUUACUUUCACCAUUAUUCUUGUUAUUCUUUACUUUGUAUGCCUUUUGGAGUUCGAUCUCCAAGUAACCGAACAAGAAAUAGCUGACUGAAGCCUAUUUUCAUCCCCAGCUGACUGUAAAUGUUACCUGGUCUUGAUAGGUGUAAACGCAUCCCUUUCACAGUCCGGCUAAUGGCUUCUCACUCUCUCAUGAUUCAUAUUUUUCUAAUUGGUCCAUACUCUGUCACUCUGGAUCUUUUUUUGCAUUUCAUUCAUCUAUAAAGACUAAAUUUUUAUGCAUUUGAUGUUUACCUUUUCUUCCAUGUAUUAUCCGGAAUGUAGACUUCUCAUUCAGUUAAUGAAAUACAUGUUAUUUUCUUCCAGAAAAUCCCGGUUAAGCUUUGUCCAUGGAGUCCAUGUGAUACAACUAUAGUUUAUGCGUCUGAGCCUUCUUGUUAGUCUGGAUCUACUGCUGGUUCUCUUAAGAAGUUGUACAAACAUCGCUCCUGGAACUGAUUCUUGUCAGUGUCAUUGUUGUGAUGGCAUUGAAACAUUUUGGAUAGUGGCAACAAGUGGAUUGUGGCAAUUCCCCUCUAUAAUGAUGCAGUUAGGAUACUUAUUCUUUUGGUUGUGGCAACGAAAAGUGGGUUGCUUGCUUGGACAAUCUAUCAGUUUCAUCUCUGUGGUUUUUAAGUUGAACCAUCCCAACCACUUCCGGUAAGAUUCCUGACUGAUUUAAAUCCACUUUGUGUUUCUUUCAUCUCUUUUAGUUUUAUAUAUUGUGAUCAAUUCCUUGGCUUUGUAUCUGUUGAUCUCGUUGUGUGUAAAUGACUAACAUGAAAGAAGGUAUAAGAAGAGCAGCACCAGGUAAUAUCACAAUCAAUAAAGUGAAACAUCUUUGUGGUUUAUGCCUAUCUACAACCCCUACAAGGAAAUAAAGAAGGUAUAAGAAGAGCAGCAGCAGAAAUGUCGUGAUCGUCAUGAGAAUUUUAAGGCCUGAAGGGCGUACAUUGUCAGGUUCAAGGGACGACAAAGGCUUCAAGGGCAUACGUUGCCAGUUUCACGUGACGGAAAAAUCAAUCUAUACAUAGAGAAAAUGGAACAAAUUAAGGAAGCCCAAUGCAAGUUCCAGGCACAGUGCACUCGGUUAAAUAUCUUGAUCCAGCUGAUUCUCCAACCAUUGAAGAUCCAGAAGCUGCUUAGUGCUUAAUUUUGUGUUUUUUGACACGCUACUUAGAUUUAUGUUACUCCUUGUUAGUUUUCUUCAGUAUUUUAGAAGUGUUGUCUCUUAAAUAGUUCAAUCGGCAACUAUGAGUGCAAUUACUUCACAAGUUCUCAGAAUAUUAUUCAGUUUAAAUGGUUUUCUUUUCUAUAUCA